ACGAGACAUACAAGGCGGUGAGGCUACCGCCGAUCGACCGGUGUUUGAUAACGCGGAGGUUAAUCGUGGAUCAGGGAAAGCGAAGGCAGGAGCGUGAGGUGAACUGAAUUUCAGGGCCAGGACACGGGAGCAGCAGCCUAAUUAGAGAAGCCCAGACCUCCCUCUCCCCUGUGUCCGCCCUGGGGCCUCCUCCUGGUAGGAGCAGCGGCUCUACUCUGAAUCCCUCCCAGAUGGCCAAACUUCUCACCCUAUCUCUAAGGGAGUGGCCAGCCACCCUUCGGAGGAAGUUCAUUUGUGCUGUUUGUAUCCGCGAUCUCGUUCUUUUGGUCACUACCCACAGAACAUGACUAAAGCAUGUCUUUCAUCCUGUUUUCCUUCUUUCACCCC
ensembl:lncRNA